UACGUAGGGUGCGAGCGUUGUCCGGAAUUAUUGGGCGUAAAGAGCUCGUAGGCGGCUUGUCGCGUCGGAUGUGAAAGCCCGGGGCUUAACUCCAGGUCUGCAUUCGAUACGGGCUGGCUAGAGGUAGGUAGGGGAGAACGGAAUUCCUGGUGUAGCGGUGAAAUGCGCAGAUAUCAGGAGGAACACCGGUGGCGAAGGCGGUUCUCUGGGCCUUACCUGACGCUGAGGAGCGAAAGCGUGGGGAGCGAACAGG
rnacentral:rRNA from 1 species